GACGAGCCUCACGAACGUUAUUCGGAAUUACUGGGCUUAAAGGGUGCGUAGGCUGUGCGGCAAGUUGGGUGUGAAAUCCCUCGGCUCAACCGAGGAACUGCGCCCAAAACUACCGUACUCGAGGAAGAUAGAGGUGAGCGGAACUUACGGUGGAGCGGUGAAAUGCGUUGAUAUCGUUUGGAACGCCAAUGGUGAAAACAGGUUGCUGGGAGUGUGCUGACGCUGAGACACGAAAGCCAGGGGAGCAAACGGG
rnacentral:rRNA from 1 species